rnacentral:rRNA from 1 species
AACGAACGCUGGCGGCAUGCCUAACACAUGCAAGUCGAACGAGACCUUCGGGUCUAGUGGCGCACGGGUGCGUAACGCGUGGGAACCUGCCCUUAGGUUCGGAAUAACUCCCCGAAAGGGGUGCUAAUACCGGAUAAUGUCUUCGGACCAAAGAUUUAUCGCCUUUGGAUGGGCCCGCGUUGGAUUAGCUAGUUGGUAGGGUAACAGACUACCAAGGGGACGAUCCAUAGCUGGUCUGAGAGGAGGAGCAGCCACACUGGGGCUGGGACACGGCCCAGACUGGGAGGGGAGGGAGCAGUGGGGAGUGUUGGGGGGUGGGGGGAGGGGUGGUGGAGCGGUGCGGGGUGAGUGGUGGAGGGGUUAGGGUUGUGAAGGUGUUUUGCCCGGGGUGAUAGUGAGGGUGCCGGGAGGGUGGGCGGGGGGUAGCUGCGUG